UACGUAGGUGGCAAGCGUUGUCCGGAUUUACUGGGCGUAAAGGAUGCGUAGGCGGACAUUUAAGUCAGAUGUGAAAUACCCGAGCUUAACUUGGGUGCUGCAUUUGAAACUGGGUGUCUAGAGUGCAGGAGAGGUAAGUGGAAUUCCUAGUGUAGCAGUGAAAUGCGUAGAGAUUAGGAAGAACACCAGUGGCGAAGGCGACUUACUGGACUGUAACUGACGCUGAGGCAUGAAAGCGUGGGGAGCAAACAGG
rnacentral:rRNA from 1 species